rnacentral:rRNA from 1 species
GAGAUGGGCUACACUCUCUUUUUAAGAAAACACGAACAGCAUUAAUGAAACACUGCUCGAAGGUGGAUUUAGUAGUAAGACAGACAAGAAAGCCUGUCUAAAACCAGCCCUGGAGCGCGCACACACCGCCCGUCACCCUCA